GGCUGAAAGCAAUGAUGUUGCCAUUCAUCCUUUCACGUAUUCAUUAUGGUCUACAGCUGAGAAGGGCUAUUUGGGGUUUGCUUUGCCUGAUGGUAGCAGAAGAAAACCAAGAGGCCUCUCUACGAAAGCUUGCAGUAAGGAGAAAGUUCUGGAGACUGGGAAGAGCAACACAAAGAUAUUCAGUUGCUUGGUGAGAGCUGCUCUCUGCUUCCAAGGCGGCACCUUGUUGCUGCAUUCUCCAAUGGGAAGGAACGCUGGGUCCUCACAUGACAGAAGGUGGAAAGGACACAGAAACAAGCAAAACUGAACACAGAGACCAGGCCCUCAUCAACACCAAAUCUGCCAGUGCCUUGAUAUUGGACUUCCCAGGCUCCAGAACCGUGAGAAACAAAUUUCUCUCACUUACACAUUACCCUUUUGGAGGCAUUUUGUUACAGCUGUACACAUGGACUAAGACAGAACUACAACUACAAUUAAGUAUCAGACAGUUCCAUUUUCAAUGUCUUGAUUUUCUAAAGUAUCUACAAGCAUCUUGAGAUACAUAGAUGAGGUUUGGGAAUUAGUAAGAAGGAUAGGCAGAGAUCUGGGAACCUGAUGUGGGAAGAAAUCUCAUCUGUGACCACGAUUUUGUCAGGAGUCACGGGAUUCUAUAGCUGCAGCAAACCUGGAGCAAACUGGUCCCCACCAA
ensembl:lncRNA LINC01435 long intergenic non-protein coding RNA 1435